UGACUGAGUGGCGGACGGGUGAGUAACGCGUGGGUAACCUGCCUCAUACAGGGGGAUAACAGUUAGAAAUGACUGCUAAUACCGCAUAAGACCACAGCACCGCAUGGUGCAGGGGUAAAAACUCCGGUGGUAUGAGAUGGACCCGCGUCUGAUUAGGUAGUUGGUGGGGUAACGGCCUACCAAGCCGACGAUCAGUAGCCGACCUGAGAGGGUGACCGGCCACAUUGGGACUGAGACACGGCCCAAACUCCUACGGGAGGCAGCAGUGGGGAAUAUUGCACAAUGGGGGAAACCCUGAUGCAGCGACGCCGCGUGAGCGAUGAAGUAUUUCGGUAUGUAAAGCUCUAUCAGCAGGGAAGAAAAUGACGGUACCUGACUAAGAAGCACCGGCUAAAUACGUGCCAGCAGCCGCGGUAAUACGUAUGGUGCAAGCGUUAUCCGGAUUUACUGGGUGUAAAGGGAGCGUAGACGGAGUGGCAAGUCUGAUGUGAAAACCCGGGGCUCAACCCCGGGACUGCAUUGGAAACUGUCAAUCUAGAGUACCGGAGAGGUAAGCGGAAUUCCUAGUGUAGCGGUGAAAUGCGUAGAUAUUAGGAGGAACACCAGUGGCGAAGGCGGCUUACUGGACGGUAACUGACGUUGAGGCUCGAAAGCGUGGGGAGCAAACAGGAUUAGAUACCCUGGUAGUCCACGCCGUAAACGAUGACUACUAGGUGUCGGGCAGCAAAGCUGUUCGGUGCCGCAGCAAACGCAAUAAGUUAGUCCACCUGGGGGAGUACGUUUCGCAAGAAUGAAACUCAAAGGAAUUG
rnacentral:rRNA from 1 species